GCCCCUGUAGCUCAGACUGGCAGAGCGUCUGCCUUGUAAGCGGAAGGUCGCAGGUUCAAAUCCUGCCGGGGGCA
rnacentral:tRNA from 1 species